rnacentral:misc_RNA from 1 species
GGCUGAUGUUGUUCUCGUGUCUGCUGGUAGAACUCCAUUCACUUCUGGUCUUGGACUCGAGAAGUUAGGAGUGGAAACAGAUAAGAUAGGUCGGAUUUUAGUAAAUGAUAGAUUUGCCACAAAUGUGCCUGGAAUCUAUGCUAUUGGAGAUGUAAUUCCCGGGCCGAUGUUAGCUCACAAGGCUGAAGAAGAUGGUGUUGCUUGUGUGGAGUUUUUAGCUGGUAAGACAGGUCACGUCGACUAUGACAAGGUCCCUGGGGUUGUAUAUACACAUCCUGAGGUUGCCUCUGUUGGGAAGACAGAGGAGCAGGUGAAGGCGCUCGGAGUUGCUUAUCGUGUUGGCAAGUUUCCAUUCAUGGCAAACAGUCGAGCCAAGGCAAUC